UGGGGAAUAUUGGGCAAUGGGGGAAACCCUGACCCAGCAACGCCGCGUGAGGGAAGAAGGCUUUCGGGUUGUAAACCUCUGUCCUUGGGGACGAAGUAAGUGACGGUACCCAAGGAGGAAGCUCCGGCUAACUACGUGCCAGCAGCCGCGGUAAUACGUAGGGAGCAAGCGUUGUCCGGAAUUACUGGGCGUAAAGGGUGCGUAGGCGGCCUGGUAAGUCAGAUGUGAAAUACCCGUGCUUAACAUGGGGGGUGCAUCUGAUACUGUCAGGCUUGAGUGCAGGAGAGGAAAGCGGAAUUCCUAGUGUAGCGGUGAAAUGCAUAGAUAUUAGGAGGAACACCAGUGGCGAAGGCGGCUUUCUGGACUGUAACUGACGCUGAGGCACGAAAGCGUGGGGAGCAAACAGG
rnacentral:rRNA from 1 species